UCAGGUCGUAGGGGGUGUAAUGGACCUCCUAGCCAUCGACGCGUACGGGUUGUGGGAGCAAUAGCCCGGAGACGGAUUCUGAGACACGAAUCCGGACCCUACGGGGUGCAGCAGGCGCGAAAACUUCACACUGCAGGAAACUGUGAUGAGGGAACUCCAAGUGACUGCACAAUGUGUAGCCUUUUCUUGAAUCUUAAUAGUUCUUGGAAUAAGGGCUGGGAAAGACCGGUGCCAGCCGCCGCGGUAAUACCGGCAGCUCAAGUGGUCGUCGCUUUUAUUGGGCCUAAAACGUCCGUAGCCUGUUUGGUAAAUCUGUGGGUAAAUCAACGAGCUUAACUCGUUGAAUUCUGCAGAGACUGCCAGACUAGGGACCGGGAGAGGUAUGAGGUACUCUGGGGGUAGGGGUAAAAUCCUGUCAUCCUCAGAGGACCACCUGUUGCGAAGGCGUCAUACUGGAACGGAUCCGACGGUCAGGGACGAAGCCUAGGGGCACGAACCGGAUUAGAUACCCGGGUAGUCCUAGGUGUAAACGCUGUGGAUUUGGUGUGUGGGGUCCAGCAAUGGGCCACCAUGUGCCGGAGUGAAGAUGUUAAAUCCACUGCCUGGGGAGUACGGUCGCAAGGCUGA
rnacentral:rRNA from 1 species